rnacentral:rRNA from 1 species
AAACGACUCUCGGCAACGGAUAUCUCGGCUCACGCAUCGAUGAAGAACGUAGCAAAAUGCGAUACUUGGUGUGAAUUGCAGAAUCCCGUGAACCAUCGAGUUUUUGAACGCAAGUUGCGCCUAAAGCCAUCCGGCUGAGGGCACGUCUGCCUGGGCGUCAC